AUCUUGGUCAGUCCAGAUUCCUCUCAACAGAGUGCACUGACAUUCUUUGGGACACAGUUUGUUUGAGGAUUUCUCUCCUAAAUCCAGACUUUAAUUUGGACAAAUAAGGCUUGUUUGAUAUGUGCACCUCGUUAUGUCCGAAGGCAGCCUCUCCAUUUAGAUGUCCACUGUUCCCCUAAUCUGCUUUUCUUGGGUCUCGACAUGCACAGUGGACAAGUCACCUUCAAACACCUUUAUAUGCUUUUUUUGUGUGUUCUUCCCUUCAAAAUACAACAGCUGGGUUGUGUUAUUCCACUACAAUCUGCCAGUAAUACUGUAUCUCUAAACUGACAAACUCCAUUGUUUUUUUCUCAGUUACUUGCAACGCUUGACUAUUUCUUCACUCUUUCAUCAGAAACAAUUUUUUGUAUGAAA